rnacentral:lncRNA from 1 species
ACGAGAGGUUCAAACCGCGAGUCUAAUUCCAGGAAGUGAUAGCAACAGAAAGGCAACCCAGUCAGCCUCGCCCAGGGCCAGGUUGGGGAGAGACCCAAGGGAGUUGGAGGAAAAAGAAUUUAUUUCAUCGGCUAUUAGAGCCAAGGUAGGUUGUCAAGGGCACCCUGUUCCAGGGACAACUGGGGACUCUACUGGUCUUUUGUGAGUGUGGGGAUCAAAUUCAGGGCCUCCUGCAUGCUAGGUAGACACUCUGUUACCGAGCUACCCAACUUCAGCAGAGGAGGUGAGACAGAGAGAAGAGAAUGGCCGUGUACUCCUUCAGCCCGUUUGUGAGUCUGGAUGUGGUCCACACUAAUGGAUGAAAAGCACUUCGUUAGGAUAAGAAAGUUCUGGCAUUAGAUCAGACUGAACAUUUUAAUACCGGAAGGUAAUCAGAGAACCAAGAGUAGAUAGAAAGAUUUUAAAGAGCAUUUUAUGGAAGCCAGAGAGAUGACUUCAGAUGGUAAAGUGCCUGUCACACAAACAAGAGGACCCGAAUUCAGAUCUCCAGCAUCCAGAUGAAAAGCCAAGUGUGGCACUAUGUAUUUGUGGUCCUGGCACUGGAGAGACAAACAGAUCCCCGGGGCUUGUUGAACCCCAACAUCAAUCUAGCCAAGCAUUUAAGUUCUGGGUUCAAUGAGAGAGUCUGGCUCAA